UUUAGGGUAAGCUAAGUUAAAGCUACUGGGCUCAUAACCCAGGAAUGGUUCAGCCUCCUAGAA
rnacentral:tRNA from 1 species